UUUGUGCACAAAUGGUUUAUUUGGGGGAGUGCACCAGAGAACAAUACCUGGAAGAGACAGAGGGAAACAGAACUUGACCAAGGGGAGAGCUGGGCUCCCACGUAGUAAAAACAGAGGACUCAGCCACCACCACAGGGAGCAUGGAAGCUGGGUGGCAGUUUAGAAACAAACUGGGCUUAAGGGUCAGAUCCUAUAAUCCCUUCUGCACCUUCUUCCCUCCCUUUGCCAUUGGGCUGUUCUAAUGACAGGGGGAAAGGGGAGACCUCUUGGGAAACACAGCUCCUUUUAUGCUGUGGAUAAGUCCCUGAGAGGAGCUUGGCUGUGGGCCGAUGGCAGCCCGAACACCCAGCUGCUGAGGGAGGGAUUAUCUCCCUCCAGGAUGGGCAAUGGGGCAGCGCUCUAUUUUCAACUGAGAAAAAUGGAGUCUGACAAAAAUCUGGGACUUGAAACAGAAAAAAUAAAAAGGGAUGUCUGCUGAAUGAGUCGUGGGGGACAUUAAAAUAUUUAAAAAUCACACGGAGGAGGAAAGAGAUUCUUUUGGACUUUUGACACCAUUUGUUGGAGAGAAGAUUUCAUGCUCCGCACAUUAAGUAUUUUCCACAGUACAUCUGAAUCAGGGUGAGAAGACAGACUAUCGUCGGUGAGCAUUUUGGGAGAUGGAUCUUACCCCUGGAAAGUGGCUUUGACAUUUUCUGCCUUGAUGGUUUGGCAAAGUCUCAACGGGACCGCCAGCCAGAGAAGGCCAAGGAGAACCACUUUUAGACUCAAGAACUCACAGGCUUUCUUGUUUGCCGCAACACAAGCCCGCAACUCUGUUCUGAUGAGGUGAUGUACAUGGUCCCCCUUGAUGGUGACAUUGCAUCCAGUGUUCUUUGCAGACCUAGGAAGAUACUGAACAAAGCUCUCACAUGCUCCACUAUUGAGGAAGCUGCCAUGCGGGAUUGCUCCUCUUCACUCCUGCUGUGGUGAGGUGACUUCUCUGAGAUCCCCCUCCCUUUGGAGGCCACUGUGCUUCAUUUCUGUAUCAGCCCAAGUCCUGCCAGGAGCAGGUAAGCACACUACUUAGAACUCUUGGAAAUUGGGAUGCCUGUGUGGCUCGGUGGUUGAGCAUCUGCCUUUGGCUCAGGUGAUGAUCCCAGGGUCCUUCUGCCUAUGCCUCUGCCUCUCUCUGUGUCUCUCAUAAAUAAAAAAAAUCUUAAAAAAACAAAACCAAACAAAACAAAACUCUUGGGUAUUAAGAAGAGAGAUACGGGAGAGAUAUGCCAGUCCGAUGCUAAGGCAGAGGACCUGAGGCAAGAAGUUGAAAUGCUUUACACUCAGAGCCUUGAGGAGGGCCCCUCAGAGCUGGAACUCUGACCCGGAGGACAGGAUGCCAUCCAGCUGGAGAAGCUGUUGCUCGGCGGAUGCAAGCGGCUGUUGGUACCUGGAAAACUGCAAGCUGAGCUCCACCACUGAUCUCGGAAGGGACAGCGAACACCCCUGCCCUGCCAAAAGCAAGGUUCUGGCGGACCCAGGAGGGAACAGGAAGCCAGGGAAUGAAAGGGUCCUUCCUUCCUCUGCACAUCUCUCUGCAGCGCCUCCUACUGGCAGUGCCUGGCGGGCUAAAGCAGGGCCGGUAGAAACAACCUUUGCAGCAUCAAAGGCAGAGAAUUGAGGCUGAGAGACAAUAGUUGAAUUAACUAGUACACUUAGCUAGGUCUCCACUGACCUGCUCUCCCCCAUUUCCCUGAGCCACCAUUAUAAGCUGUAGACCUGGUCCCUUUCAUUUCCUUGAAAUGGCUAUGCUCAGGUGCAAAGUGGAUUUGGUGAUCCCUCAUAUUUAAGGGAUGCGAGCAUCUGACCCAGGGUUUUUCAACCUCAGCUCUAUUGAUAUUCGGGGCUGGAUAAUUCUGUGUGGCAAGGGGCUGUUCUGUGCAUUGUGGAAUGUUGGGCAGCAUCUCUGGACUCUACCCUGUAGAUGCUCAUGACAUGCCCCCACUCCUGUCCCCAGUCAACCAAAACUGACAACCCAAACUGCUUCCAGGCAUUGCCUAUGGACCUUGGGGAGCAAAAUCUUCACCAGUUGAGAAUCACUGUUCUAACGUCCCUCACCAUUGCUGUCCUGAGUCUUCUGGUGUAAGAAUCAGAAUAGCAAGGACACCCGUGCAUUGGGGUAUUCCUUUACAGUUCUCAGAGAGCUUCUUCUGCUUUUCCUUACAUUUAAAUAGCCCCCAAGGAGGGACACAUAUUAUUGUGUCUACUUCACAGACAAGUCGACUAUGAUUUGGAAAGGUUAACUGACUGCCCUAGAAAACUCUAUCAAGGCAGAAGCUACACUCUUCUGACAGCCCUCAUUGUCAAAUUUUUGGAGGGAAUGGGGGGGGGGGGUGGACAGCUGACUGGCAGAGAAGAGAAUGCCCCCUUCCCCAAGUUACCAAUAAUGUUCCUUUUAUUUUUCUUUUAAAGUGUCCAGCUGUUGCCAGGAAUACCAUAUAAAACAGCUUUAUGAAGUGAACACAGGCCCCAGCAGCUUAUACAAGCUGGCUCCAUCAAGGGCACCAGUGUUUCUAAUUAAUGCUGGGGUCCAGCGUUCCAUGCAAGCCCUACCUGCUCCCUCUCCCUUAGGUUCUGACUUUUGGCUAACCUGCACGGGGGCCCUUGUGCCUAUGACUAAUAAACACUCCUGACAUUUCUCACCAGGUCUGGGAGGGCAGAAAUAAAAGUCAUGUCCAACUAACUGUGUUCCAGCCUGAACGUGGCCCAUUCAGAGCAGGCACCGAAGAGAAAGUUGUCCUGUCCAGCAGCACUAGCAAGCAAAUGCCUCUCCAUGGUUGGGCUUCCUGAUUUUGGAUAUGCUCGGCACCAGGUGCGGUCACCCUGUGGCCUUUGGGGGACAGCAGAAGGUGUCUCCUCACCACCCAAUAGAAAAAUCAUUCUCAGAAUUUCAGCAGACCCCUUCACAGCCUUCCCCACAUGAGAGAUUUCUGGUGCUCUUAAAGGCCAAGGAUGAGAAUUACAUCAUUAGACAGGACAAAACAAGAACAGGUGUGAGUUUCUGCACACACACACGUGCACACGUGUGUGUGUGCAUGUGUGUACGUGUUUACCCAAGACGUCUCAUGUGGGGGCUGAUGGAAACCAAGACACUUUAGCAACUUCUUGACUAAUUGAUUAAUUAGAAUAACAGGGCAUUAGAGCUCAGAUAAAAAAAAAAA